rnacentral:lncRNA from 1 species
UGUGCUUAUGCAACAUUAUCAAACUGCUGUAAUGCAUUAGUUAUAAACUUUGAAAGAACCGAUGACUUUUCAUUCGUUUUUAAACUCAAAUGUACUUAAAUAGCACAUUUUAAACCGUAAGAAAUUGGUUUAUCUCUCGAAAAAACCUGAACUGUUCUCGAAAAAACCCGAACUGCUCUCGAAAAAAACUUGGACAGAUGGAAAUGAAUAUACCC